rnacentral:rRNA from 1 species
GACGUAGGGCGCGAGCGUUGUCCGGAUUUAUUGGGCGUAAAGAGCUCGUAGGCGGCUUGUCGCGUCGACUGUGAAAUCCCGCGGCUCAACCGCGGGUCUGCAGUCGAUACGGGCAGGCUAGAGUUCGGUAGGGGAGACUGGAAUUCCUGGUGUAGCGGUGAAAUGCGCAGAUAUCAGGAGGAACACCGAGUGCGAAGGCAGGUCUCUGGGCCGAUACUGACGGUGAGGAAGCGAAAGCGUGGGGAGCGAACAGG